GACGAACGCUGGCGGCGUGCCUAAUACAUGCAAGUAGAACGCUGAAGGGGGAGCUUGCUUCUCCGGAUGAGUUGCGAACGGGUGAGUAACGCGUAGGUAACCUGCCUGGUAGCGGGGGAUAACUAUUGGAAACGAUAGCUAAUACCGCAUAAUAGUAGAUGUUGCAUGACAUUUGCUUAAAAGGUGCAAUUGCACCACUACCAGAUGGACCUGCGUUGGAUGAGUUAGUUGGUGGGGGAACGGCUCACCAAAGCGACGAGACAUAGCCGGCCUGAGAGGGGGGACCGGCCAACUGGGACUGAGACACGGCCCAGAAUCCUACGGGAGGGAGCAGUAGGGGAUCUUCGGCAAUGGGCGGAAGGCUGACCGAGCAACGGCGCGGGGGUGAAGAAGGUUUUCGGAUCGUAAAGCUCCGUUGUAAGAGGAGAACGAGUGGGAGAGGGGAAAGUUCACACUGUGACGGUACCUUACCAGAAAGGGACGGCUAACUACGUG
rnacentral:rRNA from 1 species